UCUCAUGCAUGAGCCAAGAAAUUGGUUUCUUGAGAUGGAAUCUACUCCUGUUGCAGAUGCUGUGAA
rnacentral:pre_miRNA from 2 species